rnacentral:tRNA from 1 species
UUCUAAUAGCUUAAUUUAGAGCAUAAUAUUGAAGAUAUUAAGGUAAUUUUAUAUUUUAGAAUAU